rnacentral:lncRNA from 1 species
GUCAGAAAUGAAAGUGGCCGCAUCCGUGUUCAUCCCCAACCUUUAUAUAUGUUAUGUAUUAUCAUCAAAUACAACUUACAUUUCAAUAUUAAGGAUGAACACGAAUGCGGCCACUUUCGUUUUACACGGAAACCGUCUAGAAUUUAACUAAAAUGCUAGAAUUGUGAAGAUUUCAGUAAUUUAGCAUGACUAAAUGGUGUUAGUACUCGAUAUAUGUGCAUUGUAUUGUCAAAAACAGCCCAUAUUUAUGUAGCAGAAGCAUUCUACUGUCCAAUAAAUAGCUAAAAG